rnacentral:rRNA from 1 species
GAUGAACGCUGGCGGCGUGCCUAAUACAUGCAAGUCGAGCGAACAGACGAGGAGCUUGCUCCUCUGACGUUAGCGGCGGACGGGUGAGUAACACGUGGAUAACCUACCUAUAAGACUGGGAUAACUUCGGGAAACCGGAGCUAAUACCGGAUAAUAUAUUGAACCGCAUGGUUCAAUAGUGAAAGACGGUUUUGCUGUCACUUAUAGAUGGAUCCGCGCCGCAUUGGCUAGUUGGUAAGGUAACGGCUUACCAAGGCAACGAUGCGUAGCCGACCUGAGAGGGUGAUCGGCCACACUGGAACUGAGACACGGUCCAGACUCCUACGGGAGGCAGCAGUAGGGAAUCUUCCGCAAUGGGCGAAAGCCUGACGGAGCAACGCCGCGUGAGUGAUGAAGGUCUUCGGAUCGUAAAACUCUGUUAUUAGGGAAGAACAAAUGUGUAAGUAAAUAUGCACGUCUUGACGGUACCUAAUCAGAAAGCCACGGCUAACUACGUG